rnacentral:rRNA from 1 species
CCUACGGGAGGCAGCAGUGGGGAAUUUUUCGCAAUGGGGGCAACCCUGACGAAGCAAUGCCGCGUGGAUGAAGAAGGCCUUCGGGUUGUAAAGUCCUUUCGUGGGGGACGAAAAGGCGGAUCCGAAUACGGUCUGCUAUUGACGUGAACCCAAGAAGAAGCACCGGCUAACUCCGUGCCAGCAGCCGCGGUAAUACGGAGGGUGCGAGCGUUAAUCGGAAUUACUGGGCGUAAAGGGCGCUUAGGCGGUGGGUUACGUCUGCCGUGAAAUCCCCGGGCUCAACCUGGGAAUGGCGGUGGAAACGGGCUGACUGGAGUAUGGGAGAGGGUGAUGGAAUUCCAGGUGUAGCGGUGAAAUGCGUAGAGAUCUGGAGGAACACCAGUGGCGAAGGCGGUCACCUGGCCCAAUACUGACGCUGAGGCGCGAAAGCGUGGGGAGCAAACAGGAUUAGAUACCCUGGUAGUCCACGCCCUAAACGAUGGAUACUGGAUGUUUGGCGCCUUAGGUGCUGAGUGUCGUAGCUAACGCGAUAAGUAUCCCGCCUGGGAAGUACGGCCGCAAGGUUAAAACUCAAAGGAAUUGACGGGG